rnacentral:rRNA from 1 species
AGUGAACGCUGGCGGUAGGCCUAACACAUGCAAGUCGAACGGCAGCACAGUAAGAGCUUGCUCUUACGGGUGGCGAGUGGCGGACGGGUGAGGAAUACAUCGGAAUCUACUUUUUCGUGGGGGAUAACGUAGGGAAACUUACGCUAAUACCGCAUAUGACCUACGGGUGAAAGCAGGGGAUCUUCGGACCUUGCGCGAUUGAAUGAGCCGAUGUCGGAUUAGCUAGUUGGCGGGGUAAAGGCCCACCAAGGCGACGAUCCGUAGCUGGUCUGAGAGGAUGAUCAGCCACACUGGAACUGAGACACGGUCCAGACUCCUACGGGAGGCAGCAGUGGGGAAUAUUGGACAAUGGGCGCAAGCCUGAUCCAGCCAUACUGCGUGGGUGAAGAAGGCCUUCGGGUUGUAAAGCCCUUUUGUUGGGAAAGAAAAGCAGCAGGUUAAUACCCCGCUGUUCUGACGGUACCCAAAGAAUAAGCACCGGCUAACUUCGUG